AUGGACGGUGACAGGGAGUCAGAGCACAGGGACACUCGCUGGCCAGGGCACUCAUUAUGCAAGAUGACGGCAGCUCUGGACGGUGCGCACCAUGAAGCACGAGCCAGGCAGGAAGAUGAGCUGUGGCUACGGCUGCCUCGGAGAGGAGAUGAUCACUCCCUGGACUUUUCUCCACUCCUCCUAAAUCUUAUCUCAUUUACAGCCUCUGGGCGUGGUGGUGCAUCCCUGUAA
rnacentral:lncRNA from 1 species